CUUGAACGACCCCACCAGCAACGGGCGAUCCGCGUCCCGGCCCUGCCCGUAGGUCGCCAGCAACGCCUGCGCCUC
rnacentral:antisense_RNA from 1 species